CAGUGCCCCGGAAGAACAUCCUGAGACUCACUUUUCCUCGCUUCCUAGAAUGGCAUGAAUAUGGACCGGCCCCUUCUCUCCUGUCACGCGUACUGUUCUCCUUCAUUCUACCUUAACAAUUUGAAUAUCACUGUCCUCCAUAUCCAUACUGUCUUCAGAUGGAUGAAUGCAAGGGCCUGUGUGCACCGUUCUACAAUGUGGCUCAUCUGAAGAAAACUCGCAGCAGUCAAGUAAUUUACCAGCUCCAUCUCAGGGAAUUCCAGCACACCACUAUAACAGGAUAAAAGCAAUUGUCUCCCC